ACUUUCAUAUGUCUUGGGUGGUACCUGUAAUUGUGCUUAUAAAGAAGGUUAGAUCGGCCAUUUAAUUUUUGGUCGGAAUCGAAAUUCAAUUUCAUUCCAGUCGUCCCACUUUGAAAGUAACCCAAUCAAGAAAACUAUUCAUGGAUUCAAUCUUUGCAAGAAGUUAUCCCUGUUCCUCCUGGGACAAAGUCAAGAUUUAUUUUAAGUGAAAUAAAGAAGAACCAUUUGAAAGUGGAACCUAAGGGCCAACCUCCGAUUCUUGAUGUAAGUUUGCUAGUGGCAUUUAUAGUACUAUUUUAACAUGCUAUUGUUGAAAUUAUAGAUUUAUUCUAAUAAUAUGAUAAAUUGAUAUCAAUAACCCUUUUUUAUAUAUAAAUACAAUGGGACUUGUACAAGUCUGUUAAAGUUGAUGACGGUUUCUGGAGCUUAGAUGAUCAAAAAUCAGUCUCCAUUCUUUUAACAAAACAGUAUCAAAUGGAAGUUUUUGGUGAACCUGAAAACAGUAAUCUUGCUGGACCCUGAAACAAGUCUUGUCCUUCCAUGGGAUUUAAUAGGAAUCGGAAUCCAAUUCCAUUCCAAUCAUUCUUUUGGAUGCAAGAUAUGUAGGAAUGGAGAAUAUGUAUGAUGAAAUGCAAAAUAUGAUAGGAAAUUGAGAAUUUUGGUACAUUAUAUUAUGAAAUCAAAUAUCAAUCAAUGUUUAACUUUAGUAUUUUAAUGUUAAUGUUUGUUUUAGAUUGUAUAUUUAUUUAAUACUUAUGGAUUUAAAUGAUAUUGGAUUGGGAUUGAGUAA